rnacentral:rRNA from 1 species
CAGUAGCCGCGGGAAUACGAAGGGUGCAAGCGUUACUCGGAUUUACUGGGCGUAAAGCGUGCGUAGGCGGCUUUUUAAGUCGGAUGUGAAAUCCCUGAGCUUAACUUAGGAAUUGCAUUCGAUACUGGGAAGCUAGAGUAUGGGAGAGGAUGGUAGAAUUCCAGGUGUAGCGGUGAAAUGCGUAGAGAUCUGGAGGAAUACCGAUGGCGAAGGCAGCCAUCUGGCCUAAUACUGACGCUGAGGUACGAAAGCAUGGGGAGCAAACAGGAUUAGAUACCCCUGUAGUCCCUGUCUCUUAUAC